rnacentral:lncRNA from 1 species
CAUGGCCUGCGGCUCCUGAGAGGCUUCGGGACAGGACGGAAGGAGGGAUGCAGGGAAGGAGGGAUGAGAGCCCGGAGCAAAGUAUCCAGGCAUCCUUGGCACGUGGUCCUUCCCUGUGGUGGGUGCAGGUCUGGGGGGUGGCACCAGGACAG